CAAACAAUUAUAAUUCAUACAUACAAACUAUAUAUAUAUGUGUAUAUAUGUAAAAAAAAUAAUAUACAUACAUAUAAAAAAUAAUACAUAUAUAAACAUAAAAAUAUAUACAAAAAAUAAUACUACAAAUCAAAACAUCAUAUAUAUAUAUAUAUAUUUUUGGUCUAGUGUAUAUAAAUAUUUAAUUAAUCAAUGGAGAGAUGCAUGGCGUUCUGGAUCUAUACAUAUUGCUUAGCACACAGCCG
rnacentral:lncRNA from 1 species